AUUGAACGCUGGCGGCAGGCUUAACACAUGCAAGUCGAACGAGUGGCGGACGGGUGAGUAAUGCUUGGGAAUCUAGCUUAUGGAGGGGGAUAACUACGGGAAACUGUAGCUAAUACCGCGUACCAUAGGAUGAGCCAAAGUGGGAUUAGGUAUUGGGUGAGGUAAAGGAUCGCUAAGACGACGAUCUCUAGCUGGUCUGAGAGGAGGACCAGCCACACUGGGACUGAGACACGGCCCAGACUCCUACGGUAGGCAGCAGUGGGGAAUAUUGCGCAAGGGGCGAAACCUGACACAGCCAGGCCGCGUGAAUGAAGAAGGCCUUCGGAUUGUAAAUUUCUUUCGGUAGCUAGGCGUUAACUACAGAAGAAGCACCGGCUAACUCCGUGCCAGCAGCCGCGGUAAUUC
rnacentral:rRNA from 1 species